AUUGAACGCUGGCGGCAGGCCUAACACAUGCAAGUAGAGCGAGCGGAGGACGGGUGAGUAAUGUAUGGGGACUGCCCGAUAGAGGGGGAUAACUACUGGAAACGGUAGCUAAUACCGCAUACUAUCGGAUAACCCAUAUGGGAUUGGCUAGUAGGUGAGGUAAUGGCUAACCUAGGCGACGAUCCCUAGCUGGUCUGAGAGGAUGAUCAGCCACACGUGGACUGAGACACGGCCCAGACUCCUACGGAGGCAGCAGUGGGGAAUAUUGCCCAAUGGGCGCAAGCCUGAUGCAGCCAUGCCGCGUGUAUGAAGAAGGCCCUAGGUUUGUAAAGUACUUUCAGUCGGGAGGCGUUACCGACAGAAGAAGCACCGGCUAACUCCGUGCCAGCAGCCGCGGUAAUUC
rnacentral:rRNA from 1 species